ensembl:lncRNA
UUUCGCUUCUUUGGGUACAGACUGAGGAGUGGCAUUGCUGGGUCCCCCUGGCGGGUCUAUGUUUGACGUUUCGAGGACCUGCGGACUUUUGAGGGUGCUCUGACAACAGCGUCUCCUUUGUGCCCUGUUUGUGCCUGAGGAUCCAGGCCGCAGCCUGGCGCUCAUCCCUGCACGGGGCCUCCUUUCUGUCUGGGGUGGAUGUGCAACGGGAAAUGAGCACAUGGGCUGGCUCGCCAGCCUCCCUGCUGGGUGGUUUCCCCCGUGUGGUGGCCAGGAGGAAAGGGGACCCUCAGGGACCUCCACUCGACAGUGACACUGCUUGCCUGCGUCCACGGGCCUGUGCCGCCUCCCGCAGCUCCUCUCUUUGGUCCCAGGAUGGCUCCGUCCUGAGCCUGUCUCCCCCGCCGGAGGAGUCCAGCCGAGAGCAGCCGGACGACAGGAAGGACCUCCCGUGGGGGGCCCAGUUUGAGCCGAUGCUGCUGGAGACGGACAGAAGCCGGGCUCCCUGCCCGCGGAGAGGUUGGCGACCCAGCCUGCGCUCCCCGGGAGGCCCGGAGCCGGGAUCCCCACGGACAGCGGAGGCCCCGCUCAGCGCUCGGGCACUCAAGGAGAUGGCCGCCAGCACCAAGAGCAUCGCCCGCAUCGCGGCCACCCGGCGCUCCCGGGCGCAGGACCGCGAGGCCGGCAGCGGCCGCUCCUCCCGCCACCUUCCGGAGGAGGUGGCCCCGGGCCCCAGCCCGGCGGACAGGAGGUGGCCUCACGCCAGCCUGUGCAGGGACCGCUCCGGGGAGAGGAAGGCCAGGAGCCAGCGGUCGCCCUCCGUCACGUGGAGCGUGCAGCCGGCGAUGGAGAAGCUUCAGCCCCCCUCCAUGGACCAUUCGGCUGAGAGCCGGCUGCCCCCUGUGCUCCCUAAGCUGUCCAAGUCAUCGGGAAAGAGCUUCUUCCCUGCUGUCCCAGCGGCCUCCAAGAUAAAGCCCAGCCUCAGUUUCCAUGCAGAUGACAACACGCUCCACGUGCCGGAGGUCAACUUCACCUUCCCCAGCGCCGUGUGGCAGAGCAGCAGCAGCCCCAGCAGGGUGCCCCUCCUGCCGCGGGACAUCCGAGGGUCUACAGACAGCGGAGGCCACCACCACAGCCCGCAGUCCCCCAGCAACGUCCGCAGGCACCGCAGCGGCAGCGCCAAGAGGCCAAGAAGACCCAAGUGACGAUGCGGCGGGCAGAGCGGGAGGCGGCAGGGGACCCGCGCACGCGCUCUCUGCCCCGGAGCUGGAGUGGACAGAUGCCGGCCCUGGCAGGGCCCCUCUGGGGGCGGCCCGCCCCAGCCUCCCACAGCCCUUUGUCCCAGUGGCGCCUCCCCACCACCUUCAGAGGCAGGCUGUCCGUGGAGUGACACAGCCUUCCCAGGACCCCUCCCUGGGCGCCAGGGCCUUUUCCGGGGCCUUCCCGCCCAGGACCACUGCACACGGUGCGUUCUGCUCCGGGAGAGUGCGCUCUGUGUGCUAGGACGCCAGGCCGUCCCCCUCCAGGUCAGGCUCAGGCUGCAAACCACGGGGGACACCCGAGUGGCCACCAGCAUCGUGUAUUAGCCGGGAUUCUCCAGAGAAACAGAACCAAUGGGGGUGUGUGCGUGUGCGUACACAAAAGAGAGAGAGGUCAAGUCUUCCUUUAAGGAGUGGCUCACGUGACUGCAGGGCUGGCCCGUCCGAAGCUAGCAGG